UUCGCAAUGCCCGAAAGGGUGACGAAGCGACGCCGCGUGGGUGGGGAAGGCCUUCGGGUUGUAAAGCCCUGUCAGGAGUUAAGAAAUGUAAGUGCGCUAAUAUCGCAUUUAUUUGACGAAGGCUCCAAAGGAAGCCACGGCUAACUCUGUGCCAGCAGCCGCGGUAAUACAGAGGUGGCAAGCGUUGUUCGGAAUUAUUGGGCGUAAAGAGCACGUAGGUGGGUUUGUAAGUCAGAUGUGAAAGCCUUCUGUUCAACGGAAGAAUUGCAUCUGAAACUGCGAGUCUUGAGUGUAGGAGGGGAGAAUGGAACUUCUGGUGGAGCGGUGAAAUGCGUAGAUAUCAGAAGGAACGCCGGCGGCGAAAGCGAUUCUCUGGCCUAUUACUGACACUCAGUGUGCGAAAGCUAGGGGAGCAAACGGGAUUAGAUACCCCGGUAGUCCUAGCCGUAAACGAUGGGCACUAAGUAGAGGGGUUUU
rnacentral:rRNA from 1 species